rnacentral:rRNA from 1 species
AGUGAACGCUGGCGGCGUGCUUAACACAUGCAAGUCGAACGAGAACGGAUUAUAGCUUGCUAUAAUUGUCAGCUAAGUGGCGCACGGGUGAGUAAUAUAUAGAUAACCUGCCCUUAAGAAAGGAAUAACAGUUGGAAACGACUGCUAAUGCCCUAUAUGCCUUUAAUACAUAAGUAUGCAAGGGAAACGCUUUAGUGCUUAAGGAUGGGUCUGUAUGGUAUCAGCUUGUUGGUGAGGUAAUGGCUCACCAAGGCUAUGACGCCUAACUGGUUUGAGAGGAUGAUCAGUCACACUGGAACUGAGACACGGUCCAGACUCCUACGGGAGGCAGCAGUGGGGAAUAUUGCACAAUGGACGAAAGUCUGAUGCAGCAACGCCGCGUGGAGGAUGACACAUCUCGGUGCGUAAACUCCUUUUAUAUAGGAAGAUAAUGACGGUACUAUAUGAAUAAGCACCGGCUAACUCCGUGCCAGCAGCCGCGGUAACAC